GCACUGGUGGUUCAGGGUUAGAAUUCUUACCUUCCAUGCAGGAGACUUGGGUUCAAUUUCCGGCCAAUGUA
rnacentral:tRNA from 1 species